GUUGUAGUAUCAGGAUACCAGCCAGGUUGUAGUAUCAGGAUACCAGCCAGGUUGUAGUAUCAGGGUACCAGCCAGGUUGUAGUAUCAGGGUACCAGCCAGGUUGUAGUAUCGGGAUACCAGCCAGGUACCUUCCUCUACCCACCCUCCUCCAGGUCCGCGUGACCCCGAGCCACAUUCUCAGCCUCUGAUGACCCGGAAGUGGUCCGUUUCAGUUCCUGUAAAACCAUGAAGUGAUUUUCAUCCCAGUUGCCCAGCAGCUUGUGUGAGGCUGAGAGUCUUUCCCAAGGCUGAGAGUCUUUCCCAAGGCUGAGAGUCUUUCCCAAGGCUGUGAGUCUUUCCCAAGGCUGAGAGUCUUUCCCAAGGCUGAGAGUCUUUCCCAAGGCUGAGAGUCUUUCCCAAGGCUGUGAGUCUUUCCCAAGGCUGAGAGUCUUUCCCAAGGCUGAGAGUCUUUCCCAAGGCUGAGAGUCUUUCCCAAGGCUGAGAGUCUUUCCCAAGGCUGAGAUCUUUUCCCAAGGCUUCUGUAAAAGGAACAGCUUUAAAGACAAAAAGACAAAGAAAAAAUACUUGGGUCUUUUUUAGCAUUGUGUGGGAGUGUGUUGUUUCUGAGUUGGUUGGUGUAUCCAUUGGGAGUGUGUGAUGUUUAUGCUCUACAGAAGAGCUUUUCUGUCAGCAGACGUUCUCACUCACCUAACCUUUUAGUUUGUUGUUUUUAAUCCUUUCAAAAUAUUAUCAUAAGAUUCAACUUUAGUUUUAGGUCAUUGUAUAUUUUGUGUGUGUUGUUUUCCUUUGUUUUUAUCACCACCUCUGGGUAACUCGUUCAGCUUCUAUAAAUUAUAUAUCUAUGUUCGUUCUAAGUUCAGAACUUUGUGCUGAUCUGUUUCUUUAUGAGUGGCUAAGACCCGGGCUGCGUCCCAAAAUGGUCAAAAGUUGUGUACUAAGCCUAUAAGGAACAGGGUGCUAAUAGGGUGCCAAUAGGCUGCCAAUAGGGUGCCAACAGGGUGCCCUAUACUGAUCAGACAAUUAACAAUGGAAUUAGCUUUUGUAGCACCACAGUGUGCACACGUUAACAAGCGGGUAUGACACGUGUGUGUUUACCACAAACGUGCGUGUCAGAGUACACACUAUUCUGCGUCAGACAGACGGGGGAGUCUUUUCACAACCGUAAAAUGUCCCACACAAUAUAAACAAAGAUGACAUCAGUGAACGACGUACCAGACGUAGUAAUAUGUUUGAUCAGCAUGCUAUAAUGAUUUACUAUUCAUGCUGACGUUAAACGUGUUACCAGUUCUAAUCUGUCCUCCAGACGGCACAAGGUAGUUGGUUUAUUAUCCGUCUAUGACAGUAACACACACAGUUGAGUAAUUUCACAAAGCAUUAAACAUCAGUCUUGUAAGCUCAGGUCUAUGAACAACUAUAGAUAGAUUUGGUAUAAAUGAGUUGAUACUCUCAAUCAUUUUGAUCUUUAUCUUUGUGUGUUGUGUAUUUGCCAAAACCAUAGCUAGUUAACUUGUUGAUCCCACUUGUUUAGGAAUCUUUGAGUGGGUCCCAAUGAUCUCUCCUUUCUCCCAAAGUGUGCACUUGUUCACUUUUUGUGGGAGGGAUUGGUGAUCGAGUGCGCACUUCAGGAGGAAGGAGAGAUUCCCGGGACGCUCCCUCCGCCUACUCUCACUGUUCUGUCUAUAUGCUGGAGCCGACCCCAGGCCUGCAUGUACUAUCCCAUCACAAGGCUUUUUCAUUAUUUUCCAUGAGUUGUUUGAUUAAAUGAUUUGUUUUGAUUCAAA
ensembl:lncRNA